rnacentral:rRNA from 1 species
GACGUAGGGCGCGAGCGUUGUCCGGAUUUAUUGGGCGUAAAGAGCUCGUAGGCGGUUUGUCGCGUCUGCUGUGAAAAACUCGGGGCUUAACUCCGGGCCUGCAGUGGGUACGGGCAGACUAGAGUGCGGUAGGGGAGACUGGAAUUCCUGGUGUAGCGGUGAAAUGCGCAGAUAUCAGGAGGAACACCGGUGGCGAAGGCGGGACUCUGGGCCGAUACUGACGCUGAGGAGCGAAAGCGUGGGGAGCAAACAGG